CCUACGGGUGGCAGCAGUGAGGAAUAUUGGUCAAUGGUCGGGAGACUGAACCAGCCAAGCCGCGUGAGGGAUGAAGGUACAGAGGAUCGUAAACCUCUUUUGUCAGGGAACAAAGGCCGGGACGUGUCCCCGGAUGAGUGUACCUGAAGAAAAAGCAUCGGCUAACUCCGUGCCAGCAGCCGCGGUAAUACGGAGGAUGCGAGCGUUAUCCGGAUUUAUUGGGUUUAAAGGGUUCGAAGGCGGUCGGUAAAGUCAGCGGUAAAAGCGCGGGGCUCAACCCCGGCCCGCCGUUGAAACUGGCAGUCUCGAGUUGGAGAGAAGUAUGCGGAAUGCGCGGUGUAGCGGUGAAAUGCAUAGAUAUCGCGCAGAACUCCGAUUGCGAAGGCAGCAUGCCGGCUCCACACUGACGCUGAGGCACGAAAGCGUGGGUAUCGAACAGGAUUAGAUACCCGGGUAGUC
rnacentral:rRNA from 1 species